rnacentral:misc_RNA from 1 species
AACGGUCUAUACCUGCGGUACCUGCGGAAGGAUCAUUACACAAUAAUAUAUGAAGGCUGCUCGCGGCUGGAGUAUUUAUUACCCUUGUCUUUUGCGCACUUGUUGUUUCCUGGGCGGGCUCGCCCGCCACCAGGACCACAUACAAACCUUUUUUAUGUAGUUGCAAUCAGCGUCAGUAUAACAAAUGUAAAUCAUUUACAACUUUCAGCAAUGGAUCUCU